GAGAAUUUGGCUGUUUCACAGGGUAACAGUUUUGUCAUUUGCCUGUUCAGGAGGAAGUUCUUUAACUGAACAGAUUUUUCUGGCAGCAUCUCUGUUUGGAAGUGAGUCUCAUGGCAGCUCCCAGGUAUUCUGCCUAUCACAGAGGCAAGGUGUACUCCCUGUUCCAGGCAGAGCAGACUGAAUUAUGAGUCUGGCACAGAAGGACCAUUGUGUGUCCUACUGCAAGCACUGAAGCUGAGUCCAUCUUGAGAUCUUACUGAAGCACCUGAAGUCAGCUCACACUGUUUUGAUCCUCACAGCCCUGCUACAAUACCAAGUCAGGUUGUGGGGAUGAUGCAGCACUCCCUUGGGAAGUUUCAGCACAGCUUCAUAUUCCACCUAUAAAGCAUCAGAGGUGGUCUUAUUCCAGGCUGUCUGUCUGAUACAAUUGGGAUUUCAUAGCAAUAAGAGCUAAUAUUUGUUUACUUCUUUUCCUAAUUGUAACUAAUACAUCUUUCUGAAGACAGGCAAACAAAAAAAGAGGUUGAGGGUUCAAUAUGAUUCACUUCAGCCAGCUCCAGGAUAACAUUUGCCUCUGUGGGUAGCAGUGAUUCCCUACACUCUUGAUUGCUCAAUUUCCUUCCUACCCCCUCAGCAGACACUUUUUUCAUGCCAACUCAUACAGAGCUCACAGAAGCACAGGAAGCCUUUUGCUGUGUAAGAAGGACUUGAGCCCUUUCACGUGCUCUUGUGUCAUUUGUGAAAUUAGAGGCACAUGUAGCCUCAGUGCUAAGUGUACUGAUCCUCUGCUGAAAAACAGGUCACUUAAAAGCAAACCCACCUCAGUCAAUCCGUAUGUGUGAGUAUGAGUGCGUUACAUGUAUGUGUGGAGAGUGAGAGUGCUUUGUCAUGGUUUGGGUUGACUCAGUGGGAAUUGCAACAGAUCUUCUCACAGUGCUGCUGAGACAGAGAUUUUAACAUAUGAAUAAAUAACCAACAUGAUCUGCUACACACAGACUGCCUGAACCUUAUCCCAUGGAUAUAUAAAUGGUAUCAUUCAGUACAAAAGCUUCACAGGGUCUUCCUAAGUCAUCUGCUUCAGUCCUUGACUAUGAUAGGCAACUGCACCUCAUCCAUCUGCUCAUUCAGGGAACACAGCUCUCAUCUGAAAACUAAAUACUUUCUUUUGCCCUUAUUCUGUGAGGAAGACUAAAAUGCCUCUCUCUGACCUCAUGUGCACACAGGCCUGAGAAAACACUGGUGGGUGGCUCAUAAGAUCCUCCAAAGUGUCAUCAGUACUGCAUCAUCUCUCUGCCUGUGGAGACUCGG